ACAAACUUUUCAGCAGAGAUCCCAACGAUACACUGAGCACAAUACAGACUGGUUUCCUACAGGAUCACUUUGGAGGGGAUGCUGAGUGGAGAACGUCUCGGUCGAGGCCAACGCCAGGGGCUGAGUCAGAGCUGCGGUUAUCACUAGUACUUGAAGAAGAGCUGCGGUUAUCACUAGUACUUGAAGAAGAGCUGCGGUUAUCACUAGUACUUGAAGAAGAGCUGCGGUUAUCACUAGUACU